GUACCACCUUGUCAGGUAGCUUAUCAGACUGAUGUUGACUGUUGAAUCUCAUGGCAACAGCAGUCGAUGGGCUGUCUGACAUUUUGGUAU
ensembl:miRNA cja-mir-21 cja-mir-21